CAUCCUGGAGGCAACGUGAGGGAUCCCAUGUAUCCGAUAUUACUAAACAAAGACGUCAGGCUUGCAUUGCAGCGGUGAGACGAGCCGAUCGAGUUCUGUGCAAUCCCCAGCUUUUUGUUGGUUUGCUCUCCGCAUUUUCUUUCCGGCUUUUGUUAUCCAACUGCAGAGUCUGAAGGUGUGCCCCAUGCA